AGGGAGACAGUGGAACGACUGCUAAUACCGCAUACGAUCUGACCUCGGCAUCGAGGAUAGAUGAAAGGUGGCCUCUAUUUAUAAGCUAUCACUGAAGGAGGGGAUUGCGUCUGAUUAGCUAGUUGGAGGGGUAACGGCCCACCAAGGCGAUGAUCAGUAGCCGGUCUGAGAGGAUGAACGGCCACAUUGGGACUGAGACACGGCCCAG
rnacentral:rRNA from 1 species